rnacentral:rRNA from 1 species
CCCUUAGAUGUCCUGGGCCGCACGCGCGCUACACUGACAUGUUCAACAAGCCUCCUAGUUCGACAGGAUUUGGGAAAUCUUUGAACGCAUGUCGUGAUAGGGAUAGAUCAUUGCAAUUAUUGAUCUUGAACGAGGAAUUCCUAGUAAACGCGAGUCAUCAGCUCGCAUUGAUUACGUCCCUGCCCUUUGUACACACCGCCCGUCGCACCUACCGAUUGAAUGUUUCGGUGAAGAUUCCGGAUAGGACUUUUUUGAUUUAUCUCAAUUUUGUCUUAAAAGCUAUCUAAACCUCAACAUUUAGAGGAAGGUGAAGUCGUAACA